GACGAACGCUGGCGGCGUGCCUAAUACAUGCAAGUAGAACGCUGAAGAGAGGAGCUUGCUCUUCUUGGAUGAGUUGCGAACGGGUGAGUAACGCGUAGGUAACCUGCCUGGUAGCGGGGGAUAACUAUUGGAAACGAUAGCUAAUACCGCAUGAAAUUGCUUAUCGCAUGAUAAUUAAUUGAAAGAUGCAAUUGCAUCACUACCAGAUGGACCUGCGUUGUAUUAGCUAGUUGGUGAGGUAACGGCUCACCAAGGCGACGAUACAUAGCCGACCUGAGAGGGUGAUCGGCCACACUGGGACUGAGACACGGCCCAGACUCCUACGGGAGGCAGCAGUAGGGAAUCUUCGGCAAUGGGGGGAACCCUGACCGAGCAACGCCGCGUGAGUGAAGAAGGUUUUCGGAUCGUAAAGCUCUGUUGUAAGAGAAGAACGGGUGUGAGAGUGGAAAGUUCACACUGUGACGGUAUCUUACCAGAAAGGGACGGCUAACUACGUGCCAGCAGCCGCGGUAAUACGUAGGUCCCGAGCGUUGUCCGGAUUUAUUGGGCGUAAAGUGAGCGCAGGCGGUUAGAUAAGUCUGAAGUUAAAGGCUGUGGCUUAACCAUAGUAUGCUUUGGAAACUGUUUAACUUGAGUGCAGAAGGGGAGAGUGGAAUUCCAUGUGUAGCGGUGAAAUGCGUAGAUAUAUGGAGGAACACCGGUGGCGAAAGCGGCUCUCUGGUCUGUAACUGACGCUGAGGCUCGAAAGCGUGGGGAGCAAACAGG
rnacentral:rRNA from 1 species